UACGUAGGUGGCAAGCGUUGUCCGGAUUUAUUGGGUUUAAAGGGUGCGUAGGCGGCUUUGUAAGUCCGUGGUGAAAUAUGGCAGCUCAACUGUCAAGGUGCCAUUGAUACUGCGGAGCUUGAGUACAGAUGAGGUAGGCGGAAUUGACGGUGUAGCGGUGAAAUGCUCAGAUAUCGGCAAGAACACCUAUAGCGAAGGCAGCUUACUAGGCUGUAACUGACGCUGAGGCACGAAAGUGUGGGGAGCAAACAGG
rnacentral:rRNA from 1 species